AUCUUAUCGAGAGAGGUGGAGGGACUGGCCCUAUGAAACCCGGCAACCUGCAAGGCAAGGUGCUAAUUCCUGGGUGUAAACUGCAGAUAAGAG
rnacentral:ncRNA from 2 species